AUGCCAGACCUAGAGAGAGGAGGUCCUGGGUUCAAAUGGGAUCUCUGGCACUUAACUGGAUGACCCUGAGCAACUCACUUAACUCCCACUGCCUAGCCCUUACCAUUUUUUGACUUAGUAUUGAUUCUAAGACUGUAGCCAAAUUUGAGACCAUGAAAGAUGAACUUGUGGUUUGAUGGUUAGGGGAAAUUGGAAAAAUAAAAUAAUUCAGUAAAGAUUUAGAGUUUCAAUUAGAUUUUUUUUUAAGUUUGUCUACAUUUGUGCUAUGAGAUAAAAAGGAUGUUGUGGCCUGUGUAAAUUCUGAUAUAAAGGGAAAGACAUUAUAAACCUAGACUGCUAUGAUUGACUAACUUAAGCUUAAUAAUACAACUAACAUAAUAAUAUAGUUGGGAGGAAGGUUAGGUGAUUUUUUUUUUUUAGUUUGUGGAAUCUAUGUCCACAGAAUUUUCUUUUAUUCUCCAUAGAAAACCAGGAUGUUGUUCUAUGAAGCUGUUUAAAAAAAUCAAAGAGGGGGCAGCUGGGUACCUCAGUGGAUUGAGAGCCAGGGCUAGAGAUGGGAGGUUCUGGGUUCAAAUCUGGCCUCAGAUACUUCCCAGCUGUGUGACCCUGGGCAAGUCACUUGACCCCCAUUGCCACUUACCACUCUUCUGCCUUGGAACCAAUACACAGUAUUGACUCCAAGACAGAAGGUAAGAGUUUUAUAUAUUAAAAAAUAAAAUCAAAGACUUCGGGUACCAAACAAUUAAGAAGCUUCAAUGAAGUUUCUAACUACAUUAGAUGUUGAGGCUUCAAAGAACUCAGUAGCAUAGGAACCAGACUUCCUGGGUUCCUAUAAUGUGCCACUUACUUUAUCUGUGACCCUGCCUUAAUUUCUUUGAUUUUCACUUCAGUAGUUUUUUCCAUUAAAAAAAAAAAAGCAAAAUUGCAAGUCUUUCCUUAUUUGAAACAUCAUUAUCACUUACCAGAUGGAACCAAACAACACAUUGACUAUGUCUCUGUCAUCCACUACCUUUUUACCUAUAGGCAGCAGGAAUGCUUCACUAUCAAUUUCUAUGAAGAACUCACCUUUUUGCCCUCAUUUUCCACACCUGUAAAAUGGGAAUUAUAAUACCUGUCCUACCUAGCUCACAGGAUUGGAGGAAAUACUUUGGAAACUUCAAAAAGCUAUGCAAAUAUAAGAUAGCAUAAUUAAUAGUUCACACAAUAUUUUGCAAUUAAGAAACUAUUCACCAGAACAACUUCUACAAUAGGGACAUUCUAAAAAUGGACAACUCAGAAAGGCCCAAGAACUCUGAUCAAUCCAAUGCUAACUCUAAAGGAUAUGUGGCUGCCUACCUCUUACCAAAGAUAAAAGAUGGGAAUAUUCAAUGUUGGAGAGACAUUCUAAAGCAUUUGUGAAUUGGUACAACCAUUCUGGAAAACAAUUUGGAAUAGCACAAAUAAGUCUAUAUCCUGUUGCCCAACAGUCAAAGGGGAUGAAUAGGCAGUUCUCAGAGGAAGAAAUUAAAAGUAUCCAUAGUCAUAUGAAAAAAUGUUCCAAAUCACUAUUGAGUAGAGAAAUGCACAUUUAAAAAACUGAGAUAUGCCCUCGCACCUAUCAGAGUGGCUCGUAUGACCAAAAAGGAAAAUGACAAAUGUUGGAGAGGAUGUGGGAAAACUGGGACACUAAUACACUGUUGGUGGAGCUGUGAACUAAUACAACCAUUCUGGAAAGCAAUUUGGAACUAUGACAAAAAACUAGGUUUAUAUCCCAAAGCGAUCAAAGAUAAGACAAGAUCUACUUGCCGAAAACUAUUUUUAGCAGUUCUUUUUGUAGUGGUAAAGACUUGGAAACUGAGGGAAUGUCCAUCAACUGGAAAAUGGCUAAACAAGUUAUCAUAUAUUGUUAUAAUGGAAUACUAUUGUGCCAUAGGAAAUGACAAACAAGAUGGGUUCAGAAAAGCCUGGAAAGAUUUACAUGAACUGAUGCAAAGUGAAGUGAGCAGAACCAGGACACUGUAUAUACAGUAACAGAAAUAUUGUAUGAUAAUCAACUGUGAAGGACUAAACUAUUAUAGCAAAGCAAAUCUCCAAGGCGACCACAAGGGUUUCAUGAUGCAAAUGCUCUUCACAACCAAAGAAGGGACUGUUGGAGUCUGAUUGCAGAUCAAAGCACACCAUUUCCCUCGAUGUUUGCCUUACCCAAUGGAAGAAAAGAAAAGAAAAAGAAGGCAGCUUUAAUGGAAGCCACUCCCCCAAGAAAAGUCAGUGUGAGCCAAAUAAAGAGAAGAUCCACUAUCCUUUUUAACUACCGGGAGAAAGCUCACCUUUGCACAACAAAAAACACCGAUUCCACAGGCAGUGUACAUGGAAGCAUCAUGUAGGACAUUAUCCGAACAGGUAAACUGUUGAGUAUCUUGGCCAAGUAUCCGCCCUUUUCUUUUAUUGACUUUUGUAGAGCUGAAAAAUUAUUAAAAAACCGUUUACCAUCAGAGCCAUCAGAAUAUGACUUCUGGGUCUGAUCUUGACUCAUGGUGUGACCCUGGACAAGUCAAGUUGCUUCUCCUGUUCCUUUUUCCUCUAUGCAAAAUGAGGGAGGUUGGACUAGUUUCAGUGCUUGGGGCUGGCAAAGGAACAAAGUUUAUAAAUCCUGAAUCCUCUCCCAUAAGAUUUAAGGAGGGGAGCAGUGAGGUGACUCAGUGGAUAAAAAAGUAGGCUUAGAGAUGGAAAGUCUUCGAUUCAAAUGUGGCCUCAGAUACUUCCCAGCUGUGCAUCCCUGGGCAAGUCAUUUAACUCCAUUUGCCUAGGCCUUACUGCUCUUCUGCCUUGGAGCCAAUACUGAGUAUCCAUUCUAAGGCAGAGGGUGAGGGCUUAAAAAAGCAAAGACUCCGGUAGAUGUAAGCACCACAUACAUAGAUAACUAGAAUAUAAGAUAUGCCCUGGGUGUACAACAGAAAACUCUGGGGAGACCGAGGCAGUUUCCAGAAGCACAUGGCACCUGAGUGGAGCUUUAAAAGAUGGGUAAGCAAAGAGGAAGAGGAGAACUCUCCAGGUAUUAUGUGCACAGUGCCUGACAUACAGUAGGUGCUUAAUAAAUGCUGGUUGAUUGCCUGCUCUGUGAUAAGGCUAGACGACCCUGAAUGUCAGACAAAGGAGGCUGACACCCAAGCUCUCCAGAAGACCACUGGCACAGAAACGGCUUGUGUCAGGAUCAAUGGGAGAAGGGAUGGGCACGAUCUCGGAAAAGAACUUGAAAGUUCAGAUUCUCCAAGAGUGUAAACAUCACAAUGGGCCAGAUUUUCUGUUUUAAGAUUUUUCAGUCCAGCCCAACUGCAUGAACAUGAUUAUACAGAAGAAGGCAACCAGGAGUCCUUCCACCAGCCUUCACCCUUCUCCAACCUUCACCCAUGUCAGGGAGAAUGAAAGGACAGCCAAGAAAAGGCUUCCCAGGUGACUCUUAAGGACCCACAAGAGGGCAGUUGGCAAGGCUGAAUGCCCACAAAACCAGUGUUUUCAGAGCCCGGCAGCUUCACAAGGAUCACCUUCUUUACUGAAGUUCUUCCAGCCCCCUUAGGCAGAUGUGAUCUUUCCCUCCUGUGAGCUUCCACAGAGCAUCAUAUGUCUCCUGCACAACCUGUCUUGGAUGGUGAUGCUGGGUGUGCUUGUCCUCCACUCUCUCCCCACCCCCAAAUAACAAACUCCUUUAAUAUCUUGCUCAUCUUGGGGACAGUGAGGAGCAGAGUAGAUAGAGCACCCGGCCUGGAGUUGUGAGGUCCUACCUGGGCAACUCACUUAGCCCUGAUUGCCUAGCCCUCACCACUCGUCUCUUUUAGAAUCGAUACUGAGGCAGAAGUUUGGGUUUAAAGAGAAAAAAAAGGCUAAGCACAACCUUGUAACCCCACGGCGGGGAGCUCCGGCCAUGUGCUGCCCAGAUCAGAUGCUCAGGAAAUAUCAUCAGACCAGACUGUUGACUAAUCUUGGAAGCAGCCCUAUGAGCUACAUCAAUAGUCCUUUGUGAGAAUGAAGGAUGUGGUAUUUCUCCAAGAAGUAAGACUGUUGGAUUAAAUCCUUCGGAAGUAAGAACUAUAUGAACCAGCUAGCUGAGUGAAUGUGUUUCUUGGUCCCCAAGAGAUGGUCAAAUCAUUUAAAGGUUAAGAUGGGGAAAAGGACAUUCUGAGAUUCCUAACCACCUAGAAAAGGCAUCUGAAAAAAUGCUGUGCUUGGAGGGUGGCGAGUUCCUUGGGAGUCUGAAGUGUGAUAGGACUAGUCAAAAAAAAGAAGGAGAUCAUGGGAUGCAUUAGGGGGAAUGACGUCCAAGAAGAGGGAGGGGAUAAUCCUUUGGCCAUUUGUCUGUUGGUCUGCCUGUCUGCUCAUAAAGCCCUUCUGAGCUCAAGCUUGGCCAUCAAGAAUUCAUGAUCACUUCUGCCUCCCAAUGAAGCUUCAAGCUUUAAGAACAAACUGACCUUUCCAUGGCACUUUGAGAUCUGCAAAAUGCUUUCGAGAUAUUGCCUCACUUUGGUCAUUACAGUGACCUUCGAGAUGAUUCUAUUCCCCAUUUUAAAGUGGAAGGAGCUAAAAUUGUGAGAAUGUGGGCAGACAACUCAGAGCCUCAGUAUUUCCACUGGCUACUUGUCUUCUUAUGGAGGUGGCCGUGAGGAAAGCCCUUGGCCAGUCUUACAGAGACAUUCGAUCUUGGUUCAUUGACCAUUAUGUGUGUGCCAUAUUGGCGAGAGUGCUGGAAUUAUAGUCACACGACCUGGGUUUGAAAUCUAGUCCUGUGACUUUCUGUGUAUGUAACCUUGGAAAAGGUCCCCAUUUUCUUAUCUAUAUGCUGAGAAGAUUGGCCUAGAAUAGGUCCCAUCCAGUUCCAAAUCCAAAGAAAGGCUAGCUGCUCCCCCAAAGACUCCUUCCUCCAGAAAGGAGACCCUGCAAGCAUCUUCUCCAUGAACGUUUCAGUACCUAAAUAAAAAGCAGGUGAGAGGAUUUCCAAGAUGUCCUCAUCCCAUGGAAUUAUGCUGAGUCGCAGAUGGUCCAGAAACUCGGUGCCCUCUGCUGUCAUCUCAUGAUUCCUCUGCCUCCUGAGAGUUGUGGGGGGACUCUCAUUUUCACCGCAGGAUGAAGUGAUCUCUGGUUCGCUCUCUUCUGAAGGCCCAUUCAGACAAGCAGGCGAUGGGUUACAGAUGCCUGGGGUGAGUAAGAGGACAAGGGAAAGAAAAGUCACAUCUAAUUUUGGAAACAGCAAUUGGUCCAUAAUUGGUUCAAGGGGAUCAUGGUGUACAUGCAGUCAACGAGUGACAGAGCCACAGCGGAGACAGCAUUCCAUCAGCUGGAAGAAGGGCCCAAACUGUAACUAACUGAGAACUGCCUGACCCACAGCAGGUGAAAAGUCUGCACCAAGAACUUGGAACAGUUGGGCAUGGGCUCUGGAGAAGCAGCUGUCCCUAUGAAGCCCUGGGCCUAGAGUCACACGGCCACCUCCAGCAGCCCUCCGGGUCUCCCUGAAAGGGUCUCAGCAACUCUGAGGGGCACCAGGACCACACCUUGAGAACCCGGACAUCAUCAUCUCGAAAGUACCUUCUAGCUCUGCCUUUCCAUGGCUCCUAGUGAAGUCACAAAGCAUCAAGCAGCUACCUGAGUGUAAACUAGGGUUACUCUCCCAUAUCAGAAGACAACAUCUAAGUUUUGUCUUUGUUUCCACUGUAUGGCUUCAUUUUCAAGCAAAUGGUUUGGCUCAUUCGGGCCUAUUGCUGAGGACCCAAAGUAGCCUGGAGGCCUGUGUUAUCCAAUCUAGAGCACCCGAUAAAGGCAGGGCAGGAUGUAAGAGCUGGUAGGCCUACUGAGCUCUUCCAUGCUCAGACUCUGUCGGGUGUUCUCAGUUCUAGAUGCCACAAUGUGAGAAGGACACUGAAAAUUGAAGUAUAAACAAACGAGGGUAAUCUAGAUGGUGAUGGGCCUUCCAAAGAAGAACUGAAGGAAGGAGGAAUGCUUGAUCUGGUGGAGAAGGUUUAGGGGGAGAAGUGUCACAGUAGUGUGGGGCAGUGAUGUGGCAGGGAGGAACUAGACUUCCUCAAGCCCAAAGGGCAGAAUUCAGAACAAUAGAAGGGCAGAUGUGAAAAGAUAAACUUCCUAAUACUUAGAGCUAUUUAAAAGGCAAAUCAAUGGGCUGCCUCAGGAGGCAGGAAGUUCUCCAUCACAGAGAACUUCAAUCAACGUCUGCUGUGAGGGUGGCCAGGCAGCUCCUCCCCAUUCUGAUUCUGGGAAAGGCUCUCACCUUGCUCAAGGAUGAAUUCCGAGAAUCAAAAAGGUCUUCAAAACAUGCUGUUGUCCACCUAAAAUCCCAACUACCACCUGCUCUAUGUCAGCAUUGUUUAAAUCUAACUGUACCAACCCAGCUUGGGAAGAAUAACAUGAGGAGGCAUAACUCAGCCAUCUGGCACAUAGGAAGGGCAGCCAAAAGGGGGAAUAUGUCCUCCAGCUCUGACUCAAGUUGACUCUUUGAAGCCAGCAAUUCCAAUGGCCUUUCUCAUGAAGAGACGUCCAUCCCUCAUCUUGUCAUUUCACUAAAACUGAGAUGGAAUCAUACAUUUUCAUAAUAAGUGGGGCCACCUAAAGGACAAAAAGGCCAAGAACCGACCAUGUCUGAGAGUUAAUGUUGCUAAUAAUAAAGUAAUCUAACUACCCAAAGAGCCAUCCAAAAGGGUCUCUCUCAAUGGUUCUUCACCUUGUUCAUGUCAUGACUCCCUUCUCAAAAGAAUGCUAUUUGAAAUGUCUAAUUGAAGGAAAUGAGAAAUUUCAGCUAGAGGUUAGUGAAAACAAAGAUUCCUUUUCCCCACUCAAGUUAAAGGCCCCCUAUCUAUUCCUAGGUCUUUUAGGGUUGGACCCUCAGUUAGGAUCCCCUCAGAUAUAAUGGAGCCUCACGUCUAGUCCAGCCCAACCCUGAAUUAGAGGCCUCUCCUCAACAUGCCCAAAAGAUGGCCUCGAGCUUAGAAGACUGAAUGAAGAGGCACCUCUCCAAAGCCAUCCAUCCCGCCAUGACAGUCCCAAUUAUUAUCAGUUCUGCUUUUCUUAUGUCAAGCCCAAACCUUCCACCAUCCCCUCAUUGUUCCUACUUUUGCUGUUCGAGGACACGUCACCUCAGAGCCCACAAUGAUCUGAGCAGAGCAUCAACAUACCCUUUUCUUCCAAGAAUCUAAAUGCAUCCAAAUAUCCCCGAAGACAGAUCUCUCCAAGUACCUAUAAAUAAGCCAGAUGAGCAAUCCACAGGAAGGAAAAUUAGGGCGGAUUAAGCCAAGAAGUGUCUGCUUUAAGCAACCCUGUUCCCAGGAGGUUUUAGCAAUCCCAAAUUAUUACUCCCAAGAUACACUUGGAAUAUUCAAAUACCCUAAUCAAACAAAGGGACCCAAGUCAGGCUCUCCAUACAUUUUAGUCUACACUAAAAUAAGAUCCCAAAGAGUUUAUUGAAUCUUCUGCGGAUUUUGUGGUUAUUUGAUAAAUACUUAUUUUAUAAAUGGGGACAGAAAUGUUUGAGUGUUAGCCCUUUGUGAAGACAGCAAGUCACCUAAGGGAUCCCAAGGGCUCUGCAAGCUCCAGACUAUAAUAAUCAUCUUCCAUUCAUUGAAGCCAUGUUUCCUGACUUCAGUUGGGUGAUUUGCUAUCAUCGCUACUGCUGUUUGAAGGAGGGGAAGAGGAGUUCUGUGCUGCCCUGGACCCAGGAUUUCAUUGGGUAGGGAACUCUCUCUGUUGGUAUAGAUGAAGAACUGGUUUGCCACUUCUUUCCUCUAAGAGCUUCCUGAGGAUCUAUAAAUUCAGUAACUUGCCCAGCGUCACACAGCCAGUUCAAGGCUGAACUUGAUCUGCUGUGCAAUUCUGUCUCUUGGUUAUCCAUUGGUGUUGAGUCCUUUUUCAACUGUCUCCCUGACUCUUUGUGACCCCAUUGGAGGUUUUCUCAGCAGAGAUACUGGAGGGGUUUGCCAUUUCCUUCUCCAGCUCAUUUGACAGAUGAGGAAACAGAGGCAAAGAGUGUUCAGUGACUUGCCCAGGGUCUGAGGCUGGAUUUGAACUUAGAUCUCCCUGAUUCUCUGGACUGUGGCACUGCCUCGCUGCCCCUGGUUAUCAAUGACUGAAUCAGAUUUUCACACUUGGAAAGCAGCAUCCUAGUUUUACCCUCACAUCUUAUACAUAUCCUUCCCCUUCAUCUCCGUUUCCCAUGGAACCCAGAGCACUCAGAGGCAUCGACACACGUCAACAUCAACCCGAUACUUAAAGCAAUCCUCUCUGCUCUUGAAACCUGCGUCCCUCCAAACAGGAACAGUCACUUCCUGCACUUUUCAUCUGGCAUCUAGUUUUUCCUGGUUUUGAAACGAUAUCAAUUUGCCUGAACAAAUCUUUACUACCGAGUGUGGGGUGUCCUGUGCUAGGUGCUGGCAAUGUCAAGACAAAUAGCACAGAGACCUGCUUUCUAGGAGUAUAACGGGAAAGGCUCAGCCACCCAUAGCUUUGAUAACAGGAGAGACUGAGGAGAAAGCUGAGGAGCGAGAGAAUAUCUAAUGGAGGAGGCCGUAGGAGCUCCACUCUCCAGCUGGAAGAGACCUCCCAGGCCAUCUCAUCAACUCCCUCCUUUACAGAGGAGGAAGCUGAGGCCCUAAAAAGGAAGUGACUUGCCCAAGGUCACCUAAGUAGAUGUGGUAUGUGAGUCAAGGUGUGUCUGAUGGCUCCAGGGCUAGUGUUCUUGCUCUCUAAACUGCCCCUAAGCAAAGAGGGGGCUUUGCCAGACAGAGAUAACGGGGAGAUCUUUGAGAUAUGGUGAGCUAAGAUAGGCAAGAAGGUAAGACAGUGGUCAGUCUUGUGCAGUUUCACUUUGUUAUAUGGAAGGCUCCUGUGGCGAGUGAUUAGCAUAACAUAAAACCUUUUUUUGGUUAAGUUUUUAGAAAAAAGAAGUGUGGGGAGUCUAAGUAGCAGGAUGGAUAGAGUCAGGAGGACCUGGGUUCAAAUUUGCCCUCAGACACGUCUUAGUUGUGUGACCCUGGGCAAGUCACUUAACCCCAUUUACUUAUUACCCUAUUGUCCUAGAGUUGUUACUAGGGCAAAGACUAAGGGUUUAAAAAGAAAAAGGAGGGGAGGGGCAGGGCAGCAAAUCCUUUCUAGGCAUGGGCUGCUGCAGCUUUGAACCCUGGAUGAGCAGCUGGAGGAUGCGGGGCCCCCAGCUUCACAUACCUUUGGCUCCGGUGGGAAAAGUGCUCGGGUCACGAGGUAAACAUUGGCUGAGCAGAACCGGAAGCUGAAGUCGGUGACCGCCACGUAGAAGAAGUUGGUGGAUAUGACUUUGGGGCAGAUGUCGUACUCCCCGUAGAAAGGAGACACAGUGAUGGUGGUGCCGGCGUCGAUGAGAGGCGAGUUGCUGCUCGCUCCUCCGUCUAUGUACCGCUUUAGGAAGAAACAGGGCCACAACGUUUACUAUUUCUUCCAAGGCGGGACGCCCAUUCCCGGGCCCCACACGGGACGAAGCCCUCCCCUCGCCCGCCUCUUUUCUCUCCCUCAUCUCUCUGCCUGUCGCCGCUUUCCUCUGUGGGUCUCCAAGCCCGGGGGGACAUUUGAUACACAUUGGCUUCAGCCGUCACGAGCCAAAGGUCGGAUUUUCCUGAAAACGAGUUGUUAGCAAGAAAGCAAACCAAAUGAGGGAAAGGGAGGAUGCGAGGGACGGAGAAGGAAGAGGGCGAGGGAGAGGGGGCGGGGGGAAGCGCGUCCCUGAAGUCAGAGCCUUUCUGCCAUCUGGAGACCCGGCAAGAGGCCACGGGAGGCCCCACCGGUCCUGUCUCUGGGCCUGGAAGGCCUUUGUGCCCACUUGGUGCCCAAUGAUGUGCUGCCUGGUACUCCACAGACUGGUCACUGCUUCAGCAAGACUGGCGGCUGCCCAGGACCUCGGCUCCGCCUGUAUUCUCCUCCCAAAGCUCUCCUGGGCACCCAGGAGAUCGGGAGAGGACCUCCUCAGUCUGGGCCUCUGAAGCUACAAAAUGGGGAGGAAAGUUCUCAUGCUGUCUGCGGUGUGGAAAGUGCUUUGAGAGCCUGAAAGGCCCAGGGGAGUGAUGGACAUCCCCGCUGGAUCCCACCAAUGCUCGAGCGCUCACACCUUGCAGGGAGUGUUUGUUCAUGGCUACAUUGGGGUCCAUUUUUGUCUUUAUAGCCCAGUCAAUGCUUCAUACACGUCCAAGUUUGGGUCUUGGUCUCCUCUUGGACCGAAGCUUCUUGAGCUCAGGGCCCCCCACCUGGGCUCUCAUGGGGAGGCAGCUUCAAAUCUCGUUAGCCAGAGGAUCCCAGAGAGCCACUUCAGCCCUGUCUGCCCCAACUGCCUUAUCUGUAAAGUGGGCAUGACGGGCCCUCCCUCCCAGGGAGUCCGGGCGGGUCUGCCGUGGUCCGACCCAAACACCGCCCAGGUCUCCUAGAGAUCUCCGCGGCUCAAGCCAUUUCACAAACAUUCGCUCCCGCUCUCGCGCAGGCAGGCGGUUUAGCCCAUUGGGGCCUUUGCCGGCCCCUGGCUCGGGGCCUCAUCGGCCAAUCAGCCGGCACUUUGGGCUCUCCUAGUGGAAGCUCCCCGAGGGCAGGUUCCGGCUCAUUUUGGCUUUGCAUCCCCAGCCAGGAGCCCGGGGCAGAUCCGAGGCUAGAGCCCAAGUCUUCCUGGAGGGAGAGACCUCCAGGGGAAAGACCCUCAGCCUGGCAUUCAGGGAAGCGGGCUUUCCCUGCUGCUCUGCUCCCUGUGGACAUCUAGGCUCUGGACGAGAGCUUCCCCUGGAAGCCUCAGUUUCCUCAUCUUUACAAGAGGCGCCAGGACUUCCUGCUCCACUGGCCUCACAGGGACCGUGAGAAAGCCUGUAAACUGAGCCCUGGAUGCCCGCCUUCCUCCUUUUCUGCUGGGUUGGUCACUAUCUUGCACCUGGCAUACACUUUGACCCCUCAAAACGCCACCCCCAUGCUAGGGCAAAGAAGCUUUCCCAGCCCUGACCCUAGCACAAGAUUGAAGCUCCAUCACCUACUUUGGGGGAGAAGGGGCUAGGUGAGGGGGGCUACACUCCUUAGUCCCUGCCCCAGGGGAAAUGUUUUCAAAUUUAGUUAAUCCUCAGAUGACCAACCCAAGGCUCACGGGAGUUUGUUUUUGUCCCAUCUUUGAAUCGAUUUUAUAUAUUGGUUCCAAGGCAGAAGAGUGGUAAGGGCUGGGCAAUGAGGGUUAAGUGACUUGUCCAGGGUCACAUAGCUAGGAAGUCUCUGAGGUUAGAUUUGAACCCAGGACCUCGUAUCUCUGGGCCUGGCUCUUUAUCCACUGAGCUGCCUAGCUCCCCCGACUUGCCA